GAUUAGGCCAUGCAUCCCUUCAUGACUUUCCCCCAGGAAGCUGUCUGCUGGGAAUGCAGCAGCAGAUGGCUCACUUUGUGUAAAGAGCACUGCCACAUUCUACCAGUGGGAGGAGAUGCCUUCCUGGACUGGCAAAACCUGUUUUUUAAGAGAAGGAAAGCUCACACUGACCAGGAUCAGGCCCUGCAGUGAAAAGGAGAAGGAAACCUGCAGGCAUCUGGUAUGUGCAAGGAUUCACACAUCUAUGAAAAGGAGAAAGAGGGCAGGAUGGCAAUGUCACCUAUUGCACAUUUAAUAAGACAGCACUUUAAGCUGAGACAGGACUACGCCAACAGCAGAGCCCCGUGCUGCAGGACAGCUAACCUGCAGGUUCUCCAGCCCUACGGGAAUGAUGCUUACAGCAGCAGACUGGGCCGGCCACUCGGUUAGUGCGGGUCAUCGUGGUGCCCUCCUCCAGCUACACCCCCUGGAGGAUGUCACCUGUGUGCAGCUGGGCAGGCCCUUCCCCAGCGCGUGUAAGUCAGCCACACCAAAAUCAAAGGCAACCCAGAAAGUUAAAUUAAGGCAGUUACAGAAAAAUCCACUCUAACAGUCUUAAAACUUGGCUGUGUAAGCCAGGAGCCGCCUUCAGCUGCGUAACAAUAUCCACAGUUUCAACUGUAGCCUCGCACCGUGUGUCGCGUUGGUCUGAAAUCAAUCUUCAGAUUUUGAACAGGCUUUUUAAAUCCAUAUGAAUGUCUGAGUUAAAAGAAAAAGCAUUUUGGGUACUGUGAAGCUUGUCUGACCCCCUAGGAGUAACUUUCAUUUUCGCUCCACUUUGUGAUCCACUGUUUUUUUUCCAAGUUAUCAUUAUAUUUUUCAUCUUUGAUCUCUUUCUUCUUUCCGGAUCCUUACAGCAUAGUAUCGGGAACGCUUAUCAUCGUACCUCCAGAGCGCUUAAAGAAUCCACACUAGAGAAGGGGGGAGAGAGAAACAGACACAAAUUAAUUCAUCUCAAAGAAACCAAGUGCAGUAAACAGAAAUGUCUAAGCUUUCUGUUCAGCCAUGUCUACCUUUGGACCAAGGGAAAAGAGAUACCAUUUUAAGAAAGCACUAACAGGUUGAAAAGAACAGCCAGGAGGAAUGUUAGAGAACAGCUGUAAAAGUGAAAGAGAAGUCCAUUUUUACUUUGUC
rnacentral:lncRNA from 1 species